ACGAACGCUGGCGGCGUGCCUAAUACAUGCAAGUCGAGCGGACGAAUCGAAAGCUUGCUUUUGAUUCGUUAGCGGCGGCCGGGUGAGUAACACGUGGGCAACCUGCCCUGUAGACGGGGAUAACACCGAGAAAUCGGUGCUAAUACCGGAUAACACGAAAUGUCGCAUGACGUUUCGUUGAAAGACGGCGCAAGCUGCCGCUACAGGAUGGGCCCGCGGCGCAUUAGCUAGUUGGUGAGGUAACGGCUCACCAAGGCGACGAUACGUAGCCGACCUGAGAGGGUGAUCGGCCACACUGGGACUGAGACACGGCCCAGACUCCUACGGGAGGCAGCAGUAGGGAAUCUUCCGCAAUGGACGAAAGUCUGACGGAGCAACGCCGCGUGAGCGAAGAAGGCCUUCGGGUCGUAAAGCUCUGUUGUUAGGGAAGAACAAGUAACGCAGUAACUGGCGUUACCGUGACGGUACCUAACGAGAAAGCCACGGCUAACUACGUG
rnacentral:rRNA from 1 species